rnacentral:lncRNA from 1 species
AAGGGCUUCAGGAAGAGUCGUUCCACAGGGUCCCUGGAAAUGAAACCUGAAAGAGAAGAAGCAAAUACAGCAGUUUUGAACUACAGUCUUGUUUUCAGUGGCUUUUUGAAUGAACAGACCAACUAAGCCCUGACUGCAUGGACUAGGAGGGCUUCCCUACCCGCCCUUGACAGCACAGCCAGGGAGAGCGCUGGACUUCCCUAACACACACGGUCAACUAUCGCUUCAAAGCAGUGACCUCUUCACACCCUAGAUAGGUAGCAGGCCCAAUGUGGCCCAAAGGCUGCUGUUUGCUCACUCCUGGGUCUAGAAGAAAACAUACUAAACUGCUAACGGUAACUAUUUCUGGAUAGCAGAACUAUGGGCGAUUUCUAAUUUCCUCUUUAUAAUGUGAUAAUUUUUGCAUGUUCUCAAUUAAAUUUAAUCAUAAGCAUGUAUUAUUUAAAAAACCAAUAGCAUGUUCUUUUCUUUGUUUUUGGUGGGGCUGGGGGAGGAGGCUUUGAGAUGCCCAAGACAUGCAUGGUUUCCUAUUUUAAUACAAAUUCUUAUUCAUUGUUUCUCAGUUUUUCUAUAGGAUACCACAAAGACCUCUCAACAUACAUUUGAAGGAAAGGAAGAAAUGGAGGGAGGAGAGAAGGCGGGAAGGAAAGAAGCAAGGGAGGGAGGAAGGAAAAGAGGAGAGGGGGAAGGAAAAAAUAACAAACUCCAGUCCUGUCCUGGGGUUAGGGAAGGGCAUGACCCACCA